GGUAGGUGUUGUUUUAUUUUCGAUUAUAUAGAAGUAAUCGAACAUAUGUUGAUUCAGUCAAUUCAAAAUGGCGGGUCCCUCCUUAGUUAAGCCUGGUCAACUGUGGAUUUGACGGCAACAUUUAGCCAAUGAAAAAAAUUGUUAAUCUAAAUUGCAUUAGAAUGUUGCCUUUAUUUAGUAUAUGGUCAUUGUGACUUUGAUGGAGAGUUGUCUCAUAUCACAUCUUCUUAUAUCUAUGACCAUAUCUGUUGAAAGUUAUUUCAGAUAUGUGUG
rnacentral:lncRNA from 1 species